UACGUAGGUGGCAAGCGUUGUUCGGAGUUACUGGGCGUAAAGCGUGUGUAGGCGGACGCCUAAGUGUCUUGUGAAAUCCCACGGCUCACCCGUGGAACUGCUGGGCAUACUGGGCGUCUUGGGCCAACUAGGGGCAGCCGGAACAAGCGGUGGAGCGGUGAAAUGCGUAGAUAUCGCUUGGAACGCCGAAGGUGAAAACAGGCUGCUGGGGUUGCGCCGACGCUGAGACACGAAAGCCAGGGGAGCAAACGGG
rnacentral:rRNA from 1 species